GGAAAUGUGAUUGAUAAGACUUUCCACUUACUGAUCACCAGGGCUGAUUCGGCUGACCUCACAGGGCAGGUGUGUGCUUUCUCCCUCAUGCCUCCUUGUUUAGUCUCUGGUGCCAGUAAUUUGUGUGCUUAGAUAAAGGGGAUGAACUCUCCAGUUAGAGAAAGACUGUUCUUUGAUCAAAGACAUGCACAUAUGGAAUUCCUUCGCUGUCUGUACCACGUUCCUUAGAGACAGAUUGCUCCUGCACGUGGAACAAUUCUAUCGUCUAGACUGUAUGCGUUCGGUCUCUGGAAAUCU
rfam:Canis lupus familiaris chromosome 33, whole genome shotgun sequence.